UUUUUGUGUAGAGGUUUACCUUCGAAGCAUAAGUUAGACGCAGAGAAUAGGCUCAAGCGACUGUUUACCAAAAACACAGGUCCGUGCGAAGUUGCAAAACGAUGUAUACGGACUGACGCCUGCCCGGUGCUGGAAGGUUAAGGGGACUGGUUAGCUCUUCGGAGCGAAGCCGAGAACUUAAGCCCCAGUAAACGGCGGUGGUAACUAUAACCAUCCUAAGGUAGCGAAAUUCCUUGUCGGGUAAGUUCCGACCUGCACGAAUGGCGUAACGACUUGAGCGCUGUCUCCACCAUGAACUCGGCGAAAUUGCAGUACGAGUAAAGAUGCUCGUUACGCGCGGAAAGACGGAAAGACCCCGGGACCUUUACUAUAUCUUGAUAUUGGUACUCGGAACGUUCUGUGUAGCAUAGGUGGGAGACUUUGAAGCGGCACGCCAGUGUUCGUGGAGUCAAAAAAUGAAAUACCACUCUGAACGUUUUGAGUUUCUAACCUCGGCCCAUUAUCUGGGUCAGGGACAGUGUCUGGUGGGUAGUUUAACUGGGGCGGUUGCCUCCCAAAAAGUAACGGAGGCGCUCAAAGGUUCCCUCAGCCUGGUUGGUAAUCAGGUGUCGAGUGUAAGUGCACAAGGGAGCUUAACUGUGAGACAGACAUGUCAAGCAGGUGCGAAAGCAGGAACUAGUGAUCCGGCGGUGGCUUGUGGAAGCGCCGUCGCUCAACGGAUAAAAGGUACCCCGGGGAUAACAGGCUGAUCUUGCCCAAGAGUCCAUAUCGACGGCAAGGUUUGGCACCUCGAUGUCGGCUCGUCUCAUCCUGGGGCUGGAGUAGGUCCCAAGGGUUGGGCUGUUCGCCCAUUAAAGAGGCACGCGAGCUGGGUUCAGAACGUCGUGAGACAGUUCGGUCCCUAUCUUCCGUGCGCGAAGGAAACUUGAGAAGGGCUGUCCCUAGUACGAGAGGACCGGGACGGACGAACCUCUUGUGUGUCGGUUGUUUCGCCAGAAGCACGGCCGAUUAGCAACGUUCGGAAGGGAUAACCGCUGAAAGCAUCUAAGCGGGAAGCUCGCUUCAAGAUUAGGUUUCCCACUGGUUUACCAGGUAAGACCCCCAAGAGACUAUUGGGUUGAUAGGCCGGAAGUGGAAGAGGCGCAAGCCUUGCAGCUGACCGGUACUAAUAGGUCGAGGAUUUAACUAC
rnacentral:rRNA from 1 species